rnacentral:lncRNA from 1 species
CUGAUUUAUAUUGCGCGAAUAGUUUCUCAAAGUCAAGAAUACAAUAACCUCAAACCCUAUAACCGUACUCAUUAUCAUAUAUACUUAGAUCGUACCACAAUUGGGACGAUUCCCCUAUCUAGAAUUGAAAAGAAAGAAGAACUACUUCAAUGGGAGAAGAGAACUGUUUGAGAUGAUCCCCACGAAUAUUUCUUGGCAAAGCUCGGAUAUCCAUAUCACAUUUCCCAUACAAUAACAAAACUCUUGGUCAAGAAGAAUUAAAAACAAUAGGGAUAUUAUUUCUUUCAAUGAUCUCCUAGAAUAUAUCAUUCAAAUCAUGCACAGGAAAAGUGUACGUCUAUCAAAGCCUUCUUUUUUAGGUCAGAGGAAAUUGAUCUUUAGCAGCGGCCACAGUAGAAAUUUGGUACAUAUACGAAUGGGAAUCGGAUCCUUAAAGCUCUGGUGGUGCAUGUGGACCAAAAAGAAAAGUUCCCAUCUCAUUUCAGUCCUUUCUUUCUGGCUUUGAUAUAUUGGCCAACAAAUUUAGCAGUCACUGUCAACCUGCAGAGAAAAUUAAGCACCAUGUACUCCAUAGGCCUUCCAAUUUCCAACAGUGUAUCUGAUAUAACUGGACUAUACGCUGUAAACGUACCUAAUAUUAAAUAAGUUUGGUGAGAUUAGAAGAAGACCAAAGAAAAAAAAAAAAGGUGAGCUUCGUCUGUCAUUUCGUUAUUUGUACUUUACAGCAGAAAAGUUGCAUUGAGAGUUCGAAGGUGCAGAAAAAACUUUUAUGAAACGGGAAUAGUUUUUUGAUUUUUAAAAAAAACGAGUAUAGUAUUAUUUUGUUGUUUUCACACAAAAUACUGUGGAAAUAUUAUCACGCGUAACAUGCUCUGAUUAACCAGAUAUAGUAAAAUAAUGUUAUCCUAAUUUCACACGAGUGUUUUUUCCAAAAAUGAAAUCACUUUUGGUCUUUUAUGUCAUACCACAU